rnacentral:lncRNA from 1 species
CCCCUGAUAAUCCUGAACUCCUGCCCAGCCUCCCUCUCCCACCACCUCUGCAACAGUCCUCACCAUCCCCACCGCUGUCUCCUGGCAGCCCCUCUGCUCACCCUCAGCCCACCAUCUGUGCGGUGGGAUCGCCGCGGGUCUGCCAGUCUCCAUCGGUGUCGUGGCUGGAGGAUCCCUUGUCUUCGCCACCAGCCUCUGAGUCCUGGACUCCGCCUCGGCCCAUCGACCCAGUGGCUCCACCAUGGCUCCUAGCUCCCUCCUCUCCACUGUGGCCCGUCAGUCCACCAGCUCCACCUUGGCCCUCCGGAUCCUUGGCGUCACCCUGGUUCAUCGGCUCUCCGUCUCAGCCUCGGGAUCCUCCACCACCUGAUCCGCUGCUGUCGGUCGGCCCCCUGGAGUUGUCAGCCCUUCCUCCACCAUGGCUCCUCCAUCCGUCAGCUCCACUGUGGGUCACCAUAAUGGCUGCGGCCUGGGUCCUGUCUGGCUCCUCCUGCUGCAAGUCCCUCCUGUUUCCUCCAUGGCUCCUCGCUCUGUCAUCUCCACCCAGGACUCUGUUAGUCGUCCUCCUCCCGGGUGUCCGGCCUCCACCUGAACCUUCUCCAGUAUUGUCAGCCUGCCUUCCAGCCAGCCCUUUGCCAUCCCCUGUCACUAUCCCACAUCCACUCCUUUGUCUUCCUCCUAAGUCCCCCUCCGUCCCACCCUUUUUUCCUGCGGCAUGAGGUUGCGCCUUCCGGGAGGGGGGCAAACUGUCACACCCAUGGACUUUUUGUUGUGUUUUCAUUCCCCAUGUGCUCAGUGUGACCGAGUUUUUCCCCGUGUUUGAUUAUGUUAGUCAGUUCCCCUGUGUCCUCAUUAAUUGAUCCUCAUCACCUGUCUGUCCCUAAUUAACAACCCUACUUUAGUUCUAACCUGUUCAGUUUGAAUUUGUCUGGUAUUGAAUGUGAAUGUUGCCUCUAUGUGUGUCUCCUGCCUGUCUUCUCUGAAUUACCCUACUUACUUAUUAAAAACUAUUUGACUUGAUCUUCCUCUUCGUGCGUGUUUUAAAGGCCACGUUCCAUGACAUUAACUUUAUAUAUUUAAUUU